rnacentral:rRNA from 1 species
GAUGAACGCUGGCUACAGGCUUAACACAUGCAAGUCGAGGGGAAACGACGGGGAAGCUUGCUUCCCCGGGCGUCGACCGGCGCACGGGUGAGUAACGCGUAUCCAACCUGCCUCUGACUGAGGGAUAACCCGUCGAAAGUCGGCCUAAUACCUCAUGGUAUCGUCUGCGGGCAUCCAACGACGAUUAAAGAUUUCAUCGGUCAGGGAUGGGGAUGCGUCUGAUUAGCUUGUUGGCGGGGUAACGGCCCACCAAGGCUACGAUCAGUAGGGGUUCUGAGAGGAAGGUCCCCCACAUUGGAACUGAGACACGGUCCAAACUCCUACGGGAGGCAGCAGUGAGGAAUAGUGGUCAAUGGGCGAGAGCCUGAACCAGCCAAGUAGCGUGCAGGAAGACGGCCCUAUGGGUUGUAAACUGCUUUUAUGCGGGGAUAAAGUGAGGGACGUGUCCCUCAUUGCAGGUACCGCAUGAAUAAGAACCGGCUAAUUCCGUG